rnacentral:rRNA from 1 species
GCUUACUUUUGAUUCGUUAGCGGCGGACGGGUGAGUAACACGUGGGCAACCUGCCCUGUAGACGGGGAUAACACCGAGAAAUCGGUGCUAAUACCGGAUAACACGAAAUGUCGCAUGACGUUUCGUUGAAAGACGGCGCAAGCUGUCGCUACAGGAUGGGCCCGCGGCACAUUAGCUAGUUGGUGAGGUAACGGCUCACCAAGGCGACGAUGCGUAGCCGACCUGAGAGGGUGAUCGGCCACACUGGGACUGAGACACGGCCCAGACUCCUACGGGAGGCAGCAGUAGGGAAUCUUCCGCAAUGGACGAAAGUCUGACGGAGCAACGCCGCGUGAGCGAAGAAGGCCUUCGGGUCGUAAAGCUCUGUUGUUAGGGAAGAACAAGUAACGCAGUAACUGGCGUUACCGUGACGGUACCUAACGAGAAAGCCACGGCUAACUACGUGCCAGCAGCCGCGGUAAUACGUAGGUGGCAAGCGUUGUCCGGAAUUAUUGGGCGUAAAGCGCGCGCAGGCGGUUCCUUAAGUCUGAUGUGAGAGCCCACGGCUCAACCGUGGAGGGUCAUUGGAAACUGGGGGACUUGAGUGCAGAAGAGGAGAGC